CCUACGGGAGGCAGCAGUGAGGAAUAUUGGUCAAUGGUCGGGAGACUGAACCAGCCAAGCCGCGUGAGGGAUGAAGGUACAGAGUAUCGUAAACCUCUUUUGUCAGGGAACAAAGGCGGGGACGUGUCCCCGGAUGAGUGUACCUGAAGAAAAAGCAUCGGCUAACUCCGUGCCAGCAGCCGCGGUAAUACGGAGGAUGCGAGCGUAAUCCGGAUUUAUGGGGAUAAAGGGGUGCGCAGGCGGUCUGUUAAGUCAGCGGUCAAAGCCCGGGGCUCAACCCCGGCCCGCCGUUGAAACUGGCAGUCUCGAGUUGGAGAGAAGUAUGCGGAAUGCGCGGUGUAGCGGUGAAAUGCAUAGAUAUCGCGCAGAACUCCGAUUGCGAAGGCAGCAUGCCGGCUCCACACUGACGCUGAGGCACGAAAGCGUGGGUAUCGAACAGGAUUAGAUACCCGGGUAGUC
rnacentral:rRNA from 1 species